CAGAUUGUCAACCAUCAUUGUGUACUCUGCAACAAAAAAUAUUGAAUUAUGAAUGCAAUUUGAAUGUAAUAGAUGUAAAGUGCACAAGUGACGAGUGGUGCAAUGGAAAAAAGGAUCAUCUUGUUUUUAUCAACGUUAUUUUAUUGGUACAAACUUUGGUGUUUGUUUUCAAAAUUCAAACUGUUUGUAAAAUACUAGUUAUACAUUCUUGACUAAAAGUUCAUUAUUAAAAUGAACAAAUUGUAAAAAUCUGCUCAUUAUAUGAAGUAAUCCAAUAA